rnacentral:lncRNA from 1 species
GCGGGAACUAUAUAGUGAAAUAGUAAAAAAGGGGCCGAGAAGGAAAUUACUAUGAGCUGAGAAAGGGAAGUGGGUUGAUCAACCUGGGCCUAGUAGGAGUUCGGGCAGAAAACGGGUCAAAGUCUGGAGGCCAAAGUGGGUGAAACCCGGUUCUCCAAAAAUUAGGGUUCCUGAGAGCCAUCAUUCGACUCUCGAGGGCUCAAAAAAGAAAAAGGAGGAAAUAGUGAGGGUUUCCCAGGGUGUAGAGACAGAAAUGUCGGAAAGCAAAAGGGUGAAGGGGGAGGUGGUCGUGAAGGGGAGGGAAGAAGUAGAGUUCGUCGAUUCUUUAGUGGGAGCUCAUUCUGACGUUGAAGGAGAACCAGAUAAUGAUAUUCUAGUCCAGACAAGAGGUAAGUUGUAAUCUGAUGAAGAGUGCCAAAGUUGUACGAGAUAAUGAUCCGGGACAAAGAAUGUGAUGAAGGCGUGAAUGUGACACCCAUCACCCGCGAGAAUCAGUGGUUUCAUGCACCGAAGGAUUAGACGAAAGAGGGAAGCUUGGAGAAGCAUUAUUCUAACGAGGUCCAAAUGAAUUUUUUAAAGGUUAGUAAAAUGUUUGGUAUGUCUUUUCAUGGUCUAGAAAACAGAAUACUCUCUCUGCUUGAGGAAAUUGAAACCAGAUUUAUGGAGGAAGGAAAGGAGAGGAAAACAGGGAAGAAAAGCAAAAAAAAAGCAGGGGGAGGGAGGAAGCUGAAUUAAAAAGAUUGCAGUGGUCUGUCAAUUAUGAAAGAAAGAAGAAAUGUGGGAAGGAGGAGGGAAUUCGCUUGUUGACAUUGUCUCCAUGAUAGGAAAAACAAUUUCUUGAAAUGUGAGGGGUUUGAAUGAUAGGAAAAAAAGAGGGGGUGUAUUAGAAGAUGGAAGCCUAAUAUUUUGUGCCUGCAAGAAACUAAGAUGGAUGAGGUCAAUCAACAAGUGAUUAAUAGCCUUUGGAAGAGUUGAUUGGGUUCAUCUUCUGGCAGUGGGGACGGCUGGGGGCAUUCUAUU